rnacentral:tRNA from 2 species
GAACGAAAAUCCGUUGGUUUCAAGAGACCGUGAGGGUUCGAAUCCCUCUAUCCCCAGC